rnacentral:rRNA from 1 species
CCUACGGGUGGCAGCAGUGGGGAAUAUUGCACAAUGGGGGAAACCCUGAUGCAGCGACGCCGCGUGAGUGAAGAAGUAUUUCUGUAUGUAAAGCUCUAUCAGCAGGGAAGAAGAACGACGGUACCUGACUCAGCAGCCCCGGCUACCUACGUUCCAGCAGCCGCGGGUAUACGUAGGGGGCAAGCGUUAUCCGGAUUUACUGGGUGUAAAGGGAGCGUAGACGGGUGUGCAAGUCUGAAGGGAAAGCCCAGGGCUCAACCCUGGGACUGCUUUGGAAACUGUGGAGCUAGAGUGCGGGAGAGGUAAGUGGAAUGCCUAGUGUAGCGGUGAAAUGCGUAGAUAUUAGGAGGAACACCAGUGGCGAAGGCGGCUUACUGGACAGUAACUGACGUUGCGGCUCGAAAGCGUGGGGAGCAAACAGGAUUAGAUACCCCUGUAGUC